AGUGAACGCUGGCGGUAGGCCUAACACAUGCAAGUCGAACGGCAGCACAGUAAGAGCUUGCUCUUACGGGUGGCGAGUGGCGGACGGGUGAGGAAUACAUAGGAAUCUACUUUUUCGUGGGGGAUAACGUAGGGAAACUUACGCUAAUACCUCAUACGACCUACGGGUUAAAUCAGGGGAGCUUCGGACCUUGCGCGAUUGAAUGAGCCGAUGUCGGAUUAGCUAGUUGGCGGGGUAAAGGCCCACCAAGGCGACGAUCCGUAGCUGGUCUGAGAGGAUGAUCAGCCACACUGGAACUGAGACACGGUCCAGACUCCUACGGGAGGCAGCAGUGGGGAAUAUUGGACAAUGGGCGCAAGCCUGAUCCAGCCAUACCGCGUGGGUGAAGAAGGCCUUCGGGUUGUAAAGCUCUUUUGUUGGGAAAGAAAAGCAGCAGGUUAAUACCCCGCUGUUCUGACGGUACCCAAAGAAUAAGCACCGGCUAACUUCGUG
rnacentral:rRNA from 1 species